rnacentral:misc_RNA from 1 species
GAAAUGCGAUAAGUAAUGUGAAUUGCAGAAUUCAGUGAAUCAUCGAAUCUUUGAACGCACAUUGCACCCGCCAGUAUUCUGGCGGGCAUGCCUGUCCGAGCGUCAUUUCAACCAUCAAGUCCCCGGGCUUGUGUUGGGGACCUGCGGCUGCCCGCAGGCCCUGAAAACCAGUGGCGGGCUCGCUGUCACACCGAGCGUAGUAGCAAUCACCUCGCUCAGGGCGUGCUGCGGGUUCCGGCCGUUAAACAGCCUUACAAAACCCAAGGUUGACCUCGGAUCAGGUAGGAAGACCCGCUGAACUUAAGC